rnacentral:misc_RNA from 1 species
AACGCACAUUGCGCCCUCUGGUAUUCCGGGGGGCAUGCCUGUUCGAGCGUCAUUACAACCCUCAAGCUCAGCUUGGUAUUAGGCCUCACCUGCUAUGGGCGGGCCUUAAAAUCAGUGGCGGUGCCAUUUGGCUUCAAGCGUAGUAACUUUUCUCGCUCAGGAGUACCGAUUGCGUGCCUGCUAAAAAUCCAAAUUUUAUCAAAGGUUGACCUCGGAUCAGGUAGGGAUACCCGCUGAACUUAA